ACGGAAGGCAGCAGUGGGGGAUAUUGCACAGUGGAGGAAACUCUGAUGCAGCAACGCCGCGUGAGGGAAGAAGGUUUUCGGAUUGUAAACCUCUGUUUUUAGUGAAGAAACAAAUGACGGUAGCUCAAGAGGAAGCCACGGCUAACUACGUGCCAGCAGCCGCGGUAAUACGUAGGUGGCAAGCGCUGUCCGGAUUUACUGGGUGUAAAGGGUGCGCAGGCGGGACUGCAAGUUGGAUGUGAAAUCCCGGGGCUCAACCCCGGAACUGCAUCCAAAACUGUAGUUCGUGAGUGGAGUAGAGGUAAGCGGAAUUCCGAGUGUAGCGGUGAAAUGCGUAGAUAUUCGGAGGAACACCAGUGGCGAAGGCGGCUUACUGGGCUCUAACUGACGCUGAGGCACGAAAGCAUGGGUAGCAAACAGGAUUAGAUACCCUGGUA
rnacentral:rRNA from 1 species